GCGAACGGGUGAGUAACACGUGGGUGAUCUGCCCUGUACUUCGGGAUAAGCCUGGGAAACUGGGUCUAAUACCGGAUAUGACCACGGAAUGCAUGUUCUGUGGUGGAAAGAUUUAUCGGUACAGGAUGGGCCCGCGGCCUAUCAGCUUGUUGGUGGGGUAACGGCCUACCAAGGCGACGACGGGUAGCCGACCUGAGAGGGUGACCGGCCACACUGGGACUGAGACACGGCCCAGACUCCUACGGGAGGCAGCAGUGGGGAAUAUUGCACAAUGGGCGAAAGCCUGAUGCAGCGACGCCGCGUGGGGGAUGACGGCCUUCGGGUUGUAAACCCCUUUCGACAGGGACGAAGCGCAAGUGACGGUACCUGUAGAAGAAGCACCGGCCAACUACGUGCCAGCAGCCGCGGUAAUACGUAGGGUGCGAGCGUUGUCCGGAAUUACUGGGCGUAAAGAGCUUGUAGGCGGUCUGUCGCGUCUUCUGUGAAAACUUGGGGCUCAACCUUAAGCUUGCAGGGGAUACGGGCAGACUAGAGUACUUCAGGGGAGACUGGAAUUCCUGGUGUAGCGGUGAAAUGCGCAGAUAUCAGGAGGAACACCGGUGGCGAAGGCGGGUCUCUGGGAAGUAACUGACGCUGAGAAGCGAAAGCAUGGGUAGCAAA
rnacentral:rRNA from 1 species